rnacentral:tRNA from 1 species
GCCUGGGUGGCUCAGUGAAGCCUCUGACUUCAGCUCAGGUCAUGAUCUCACCGUUUGUGGGUUCGAGCCCCACAUCAGGCU